CCCUUGGCCAAAUCUGCCAUCCCUGCUCUUUAUAGAGAAAAGAACAAAGCUGCCUGAUUACUGCUAGAACAGUUUGCCAGGACCUGUGGACAAACAGCACCAUGCAGAGGGCUAAGGCACAGCCCACACAGCUCUGCUAAUUUGCCCCCAAGAGGUGGAGAAGAAGAAGAAAGGCAGCAGGGGGGAGAGGAGAGAUGUUCAGAGCAUGGAAUAAAUUACUCUUCCUACAGUUCCAAGAGCUCAGAGUCUGGAGUGAGAGCAAGGAGGGAAGGAAUGAGGAAGGCACGGGCAGCUGAACAGGACCAGCCUGAAUCUUGCCUCCCGGGGCUCCUGCUCUAAAAUGGAAAAGAGAUGACCAACAGAUCAGAAAAAUACCUGCAUCAUUACCAUGGCAGUCCAUGCCGUGAAGGACCGGAUACAGGCAAGGAACUCAGUGCUCACUAGCAAGUCACUCCGUCUCCCUCUGUCCACUCAUCCACGGGCAGAAUCUGAGAUCAAGGUCGUGAGAUGGAAACCUGAGGCCAC